GACAAAUCCUUUUGAAGCGAUUUGCUCGUACGGGGCAGGACCCAUACUAAGAGAGGGGAAAAGUGGUCAUAUUGGAUCCUUGGGAACCAUCACAAGUACGGCCGGCCUAUAUUUGAACAUUCAUGAGGUAAUCAGCAUGACAUAUUUGAUCCAAACGACGCAAACGAUUGUUCGCUAUCUUGGAGAGAUUCAAACUGAGGGUUAAGAGCACCUCCAAUUGGAGAUUCUCUUAAAAAUUUUGAUAAGUUCUCUGGUUUAGUUGGCAAAAAAAUAAAUCAAAACUGAUAUGAAGGCAGAGAAUCGGCAGAGAAUCGACUCUCUGCAGAGAGCUUUGAGCAAUUAAGAGAACCGUACACGUGGCACACUCUGAUUGGAGCAUCUAUUUUAACAAAAGAAAAAAAAUCUUGGUAUCUUCUCUCUUUGUAAACGACUACUUUUUCUCUCUCUGGCGAUGGCGAUCAAACCGCCGAUUUCUCCGAUUCCAAUGAGUGGGAGUAAAAUUACGUGUGUAAUCGUGGUAUCUGAGAAUUCGUGACGCCGGAGUCAUCAUCUUUUCAAUCAAUUUCUUCUCUUUUCUCUGCAUCAAUUUUUAGGGUUCAUCAGAGAAAGAGAAAAAGAUUCAGAGAUCCAUUGUACCAAGCCCACGUUGAUUUACAGAUAUGUUAAGCUAGCUGAUUUGUCAAAGGAGAAGAGAUUGUUUUUUGUUAGAGCGUGGGAAGUGUUUGUGAUUUGGUUUUAAUGCAUGAGCGACUAGAGAAGAAGAAAGCAGAGUAUGCAGAGAGGAUGAAGAAAAAAGUUGCAGCGAUUCACAAGGAAGCUGAACAGAGAAGACAUUGAUGACUGAGGACUUGGUGACUGAAGACAAUGAUGACUGAAAACUUUGUAUAUGCUAUGAUCAAAUUUGUAGAGUUUAGUCAUAGAGGAAAGCAAUUGUGAAGCAGAUUUGUUAUAGAGGAAACCAAUUGUAAACUUUGUAUAUGUCUUUUCUGAACUACGAUUCCGAUUGUGAAACGUAUCAAAACACAUAAACCAAAAUCAUAUUUUUGUUUUCUCCACAAAACCAAAAUCAUAUCCAAAACACAUAAAAUUUUAUGAGAACUUCACUUGAGAGACUACCAUUGGACUAUCAAAAAUUUUAAAUUUUUUACACAAACUCACAUCUUACAAAUUUCCAUAAUUUAUACUAAACAAUGGGAGAGAGCCCAUGGAGGGUUCAACGUUGUAAAAAAGGUCAUCAAAAAGACUCUCUCUCUCUCUCUCAUUUCGCCCUAACCUAGCCGCCGCUGUACGUGCUCUCCGCCUGAGACCGGUUGCUGGUGGCUUCCACAGCACUGGUGCUGGUCUCCCCAUGUAGUAGUUGCUUUUCUUUUUUUGUUUCUACUGUUUUCUGCGAUGUGGUGAAGAUCUUGCCUUGCUUCGUCUGGAUCUGGGUGGCGGUUAUGGCUUGUCUUUGGCCGGAGUUGGAGGACGAAGUUGGCUUCCUGAAAUCAUCUUCUCCUUCGACUUUCUUCUUCCUCCCCGGAUCUAUUCAGGCUCGCUAGGUGAAAUGGUAUCUCCUCCCAUCUAGUUUUUUAUUUCUUCGCGGCAACAUCUCCUGCUUCGAUCAGGCCUUUCUCUUCAACUUAUUUCGGAGUAGAUUGGGAUUCGAUUUUGGUUUGUCGAGUUUUCCGGCUGCGUCCAUUGGAUCUGCGGCAACGGCCUUCGUCUUCAUUUAUCCUCACAGGUCGUCCCUUAAUUUACCUUCGGUUAAUUGCUUUGGUUGUUGGAGUGUGUUUGGGUGCGUUUGGUUGAGGGUAGAAGCCUUAAUUUCAAGUUUAGGGCUGGGAAUAUUGACUCCUAAUUCUGCCUCCUGUUACUUUCUGCCCGGUUAUUGGUGUUAUGAGUUUGUGAUGGUUUCGUUUUGUGGGUUCUUCUUUCGGAUGGUAGUCUCCUGCAAAGGCAUCUACAAGCUCUCUUCCUUAUCCUUGUUUGGAUUUAAGAUUUGAGUUCAAGACGAUGUGGUAGGCUCGGUCUCCAUUCCUUCUCUUGAGUGGCAUAACCAGUUCUUAGGCUGUAGAUGGUUUUGGCUGGGUCUACGAAUAUCCGCGUGUAAGGUUUGUUGGUCCUCUUUGGCGUUUUCCCCUUCGGAUCUCAAGGCUUCUCCUUGUCCCUUCAUCUGCUUGUCUUCUCUGGUUUCUGAUGUGGUAGUGAUGGUUAGGAUCUGUGCUCUGAUCCUCUUAUAUUUGUCUGUGCUCGUUCCUGCUGGGGUUGUGGUUGUGUGAGCUUGGUUUAGUAUCCUUCUCGGGCCUUUCAUUUAAAGGUAAUCUAAUGAUGGGUCCUCUUGUUGCUCCUGUUUGUAACCACUUUCCAGCGCCCAAAUUAUUCUAUGGAAAUGUUCGUCGGAUGCUUUUAGUGAAGAGUUUGCAGUUGUUUACUUGAGUCUUAGAUAUUAGCCAUUCCCUGUACUUUAAGAUUUUCCUUCUUUUAUGUCUGCCUUUUUUGGCCUUUGUCUCUGGGGGUUUCUAUGUACCCGCCGGCUUUGUUUUCGGAAGGAUUUCUUUCCUUGCCGCUAUGUAUUAACUCCAAGUAUCUUAUCAA